CCUACGGGUGGCAGCAGUGGGGGAUAUUGCACAAUGGGGGGAACCCUGAUGCAGCGACGCCGCGUGUGGGAAGACGGUCCUCUGGAUUGUAGACCACUGUCCCCAGGGACGAAAAUGACGGUACCUGGGGAGGAAGCUCCGGCUAACUCCGUGCCAGCAGCCGCGGUAAUACGGAGGAGGCGAGCGUUAUCCGGAUUUACUGGGGUUAAAGGGCGUGUAGGCGGGACUGUAAGUCAGAUGGGGAAACCACGGGCUCAACCUGUGGCCUGCAUUUGAAACUGUAGUUCUUGAGUACUGGAGAGGCAGACGGAAUUCGUGGUGUAGCGGUGAAAUGCGUAGAUAUUAGGAGGAACACCAGUGGCGAAGGCGGUCUGCUGGACAGCAACUGACGCUGAGGCGCGAAAGCGUGGGGAGCAAACAGGAUUAGAUACCCGAGUAGUC
rnacentral:rRNA from 1 species